rnacentral:rRNA from 1 species
CCUACGGGGGGCAGCAGUGGGGAAUAUUGGACAAUGGGGGCAACCCUGAUCCAGCCAUGCCGCGUGUGUGAAGAAGGCCUUAGGGUUGUAAAGCACUUUAAGCGAGGAGGAAGGGCUCUGGGUUAAUACCUUGGAGCAUUGACGUUACUCGCAGAAUAAGCACCGGCUAACUCUGUGCCAGCAGCCGCGGUAAUACAGAGGGUGCGAGCGUUAAUCGGAAUUACUGGGCGUAAAGCGCGCGUAGGCGGUUGUGUAAGUUGGAGGUGAAAUCCCCGGGCUUAACCUGGGCACUGCCUUCAAAACUGCACGGCUAGAGUAUGGGAGAGGAAGGUAGAAUUCCAGGUGUAGCGGUGAAAUGCGUAGAGAUCUGGAGGAAUACCGAUGGCGAAGGCAGCCUUCUGGCCUAAUACUGACGCUGAGGUGCGAAAGCAUGGGGAGCAAACAGGAUUAGAUACCCCAGUAGUC